AUACGGAGGAUGCGAGCGUUAUCCGGAUUUAUUGGGUUUAAAGGGAGCGUAGGUGGGAUAUUAAGUCAGCUGUGAAAGUUUGGGGCUCAACAUUAAAAUUGCAGUUGAUACUGGUUUCCUUGAGUACGGUACAGGUGGGCGGAAUUCGUGGUGUAGCGGUGAAAUGCUUAGAUAUCUCGAAGAACUCCGAUCGCGAAGGCAGGUCACCGGGCCGGAACUGACACUGAUGCUCGAAAGUGCGGGUAUCAAACAGGAUUAGAUACCCUGGUAGUCCGCACAGUAAACGAUGAAUACUCGCUGUUUGCGAUACACUGUAAGCGGCCAAGCGAAAGCGUUAAGUAUUCCACCUGGGGAGUACGCCGGCAACGGUGAAACUCAAAUGAAUUGACGGGG
rnacentral:rRNA from 1 species